GGAGAGGUGGCAGAGUGGUCGAAUGCACCGGUCUUGAAAACCGACGUAGGUUUGUAGCCUACCCAGGGUUCGAAUCCCUGUCUCUCCGCCA
rnacentral:tRNA from 1 species